rnacentral:rRNA from 1 species
CCUACGGGUGGCAACAGUAGGGAAUCUUCCACAAUGGACGAAAGUCUGAUGCAGCAACGCCGCGUGAGUGAAGAAGGGUUUCGGCUCGUAAAGCUCUGUUGGUAGUGAAGAAAGAUAGAGGUAGUAACUGGCCUUUAUUUGACGGUAAUUACUUAGAAAGUCACGGCUAACUACGUGCCAGCAGCCGCGGUAAUACGUAGGUGGCAAGCGGUGUCCGGAUUUAUUUGGCGUAAAGCGAGUGCAGGCGGUUCAAUAAGUCUGAUGUGAAAGCCUUCGGCUCAACCGGAGAAUUGCAGCAGAAACUGUGGAACUUGAGAGCGGGAGAGGAGAGUGGAAUUCCAGGUGUAGCGGUGGAAUGCGUAGAUAUAGGGAAGAACACCAGUGGCGAAGGCGGCUCUCUGGUCUGCAACUGACGCUGAGGCUCGAAAGCAUGGGUAGCGAACAGGAUUAGAUACCCCUGUAGUC